CAAAGAAGAAGAUGAAGAAGAAGAAGC
rnacentral:sRNA from 1 species